rnacentral:rRNA from 1 species
AGAGUUUGAUCAUGGCUCAGGAUGAACGCUGGCGGCGUGCCUAAUACAUGCAAGUCGAGCGGUAAGGCUUUCACUCUGUAUUUAAUGAGUUGAAUAUAGUGUGAAAGUACACGAGCGGCGGACGGCUGAGUAACGCGUAGGAACGUACCCCAAAGUGAGGGGAUAAGCACCGGAAACGGUGUCUAAUACCGCAUGUGAUCUUCGGAUUAAAGCUUUAUGCGCUUUGGGAGCGGCCUGCGUAAGAUUAGUUUGUUGGUGAGGUAAAUGGCUCACCAAGACUACGAUCUUUAGCUGGUCUGAGAGGAUGAUCAGCCAGACUGGGACUGAGACACGGCCCAGACUCCUACGGGAGGCAGCAGUAGGGAAUUUCCACAAUGGACGAAAGUCUGAUGGAGCAACGCCGCGUGCAGGAUGAAGGCCUUCGGGUUGUAAACUGCUUUUAUCUGUGACGAUUAUGACGGUAGCAGAUGAAUAAGGAUCGGCUAACUCCGUG